rnacentral:rRNA from 1 species
ACAGGGAUUGCCCUAGUAACGGCGAGUGAAGCGGCAACAGCUCAAAUUUGAAAUCUGGCUCUUUUAGGGUCCGAGUUGUAAUUUGCAGAGGGCGCUUUGGCGUUGGCAGCGGUCCAAGUUCCUUGGAACAGGACGUCACAGAGGGUGAGAAUCCCGUACGUGGUCGCUGGCCUUCGCCGUGUAAAGCCUCUUCGACGAGUCGAGUUGUUUGGGAAUGCAGCUCUAAAUGGGAGGUAAAUUUCUUCUAAAGCUAAAUACUGGCCAGAGACCGAUAGCGCACAAGUAGAGUGAUCGAAAGAUGAAAAGCACUUUGGAAAGAGAGUCAAAUAGCACGUGAAAUUGUUAAAAGGGAAGCGCUUGCAGCCAGACUUGCCUGUAGUUGCUCAUCCAGGCUCUUGCCUGGUGCACUCUUCUAUGGGCAGGCCAGCAUCAGUUUGGGCGGUUGGAUAAAGGUCUCUGUCAUGUACCUCCUUUYGGGGAGGCCUUAUAGGGGAGACGACAUGCAACCAGCCUGGACUGAGGUCCGCGCAUUCGCUAGGAUGCUGGCGUAAUGGCUGUAAGCGGCCCGUCUUGAAACACGGACCAAGGAGUCUAACAUCUAUGCGAGUGUUUGGGUGUCAAGCCCGAACGCGCAAUGAAAGUGAACGGAGGUGGGAACCCUUAAGGGUGCACCAUCGACCGAUCCUGAUGUCUUCGGAAGGAUUUGAGUAAGAGCAUAGCUGUUGGGACCCGAAAGAUGGUGAACUAUGCUUGAAUAGGGUGAAGCCAGAGGAAACUCUGGUGGAGGCUCGCAGCGGUUCUGACGUGCAAAUCGAUCGUCAAAUUUGGGCAUAGGGGCGAAAGACUAAUCGAACUAUCUAGUAGC